rnacentral:rRNA from 1 species
AAGUCGAACGGAAGUCGUUAUAAAAUGGAGAGAAGAUUUAUCAGAUCGAAGUUAUAUAACAAUGGCUUUAGUGGCGGACUGGUGAGUAAUACGUAAGUAACCUACCUAUUAGAGGGGAACAACAGUUAGAAAUGACUGCUAAUACCGCAUAUACCAUAAGUAUCACAUGAUACCAAUGGGAAAGGAGAAAUCCGCUAAUAGAUGGGCUUACGGCUGAUUAGCUAGUUGGUGGGGUAAAGGCCUACCAAGGCGACGAUCAGUAGCCGGACUGAGAGGUUGAACGGCCACAUUGGGACUGAGAUACGGCCCAGACUCCUACGGGAGGCAGCAGUCGGGAAUUUUGCGCAAUGGAGGAAACUCUGACGCAGUGACGCCGCGUGCAGGAUGAAGGUUUUCGGAUUGUAAACUGCUUUAGACAGGGAAGAAAAAGGACAGUACCUGUAGAAUAAGCUCCGGCUAACUACGUGCCAGCAGCCGCGGUAAUACGUAGGGAGCAAGCGUUAUCCGGAUUUAUUGGGUGUAAAGGGUGCGUAGAUGGGAGUACAAGUUAGUUGUGAAACCCCUCGGCUUAACUGAGGAACUGCAACUAAAACUAUAUUUCUUGAGUGCUGGAGAGGAAAGUGGAAUUCCUAGUGUAGCGGUGAAAUGCGUAGAUAUUAGGAGGAACACCAGUGGCGAAGGCGACUUUCUGGACAGUAACUGACAUUGAGGCACGAAGUGUGGGGAGCAACAGGAUUAGAUACCUUGGUAGUCACACUGUAACGAUGAUACUAGUGUAGGGAUGAUAAUCUUUGGCCUCCAACNCAUANUUCCCCUGGGAGUCGCCCAGUUAACUAAGAUGCGGGCCCCCACCUGAUUNGUUAUNAACCCNAACUUCGGCUGCUCAAAAAAAUUACUNGAUUUCGG